UUAUAUUUGGUGUAUGAUGCACAUUAAUUUUUGAUAUUAUUAGAUAUAGUUUAAUUCUAUAAAUAUAAU
rnacentral:tRNA from 1 species